rnacentral:snRNA from 14 species
GCUCACUUUCUCAGCACUGUACUAAAAUCAAACAAUGCAGACAGUGGCAUGGCCCCUAUGCAAGGAUGACGUGAAAAUUCACAAAGCAAUCGUAUAUUUAA